rnacentral:tRNA from 1 species
CAAAAAGUAGUUUAACAAAAAUAAAAGCUUUGGGAGCUUUAGUUUUAGGCCUGCUAACUUUUUGA